rnacentral:rRNA from 1 species
UACAGAGGGUGCAAGCGUUAAUCGGAAUUACUGGGCGUAAAGCGUGCGUAGACGGUUAUGUAAGUCAGAUGUGAAAUCCCCGGGCUUAACCUGGGAAUGGCAUUGGUGACUGCACGGCUAGAGUGUGUCAGAGGGGGGUAGAAUUCCACGUGUAGCAGUGAAAUGCGUAGAGAUGUGGAGGAAUACCGAUGGCGAAGGCAGCCCCCUGGGUCAAUACUGACGCUCAUGCACGAAAGCGUGGGGAGCAAACAGG